rnacentral:tRNA from 2 species
GCGUGGGUGGCGAAAUCGGCAGACGCACAGGACUUAAAAUCCUGAGGGGUGUAAACUCCGUGUGGGUUCAAGUCCCACCCCACGCA